AAAAUUUAAAAUUGAAAUACUAAAAUAGUAAAUAAAUAUUUAUUUAAACUUAAAUGAUUUGGCGGUAUUUUAGUUCAUUUAGAGGAAUCUGUUUAAUAAUUGAUAUUCCACGAAUAAAUUUACUUAAUUUAUAAUUUUGUAUAUCGUUGUUAUAAAAAUAUUUUUUAAUAAAAUUAAUAUUUAAAAAUUAAUAAUAUAAAUUUAAAUCAGAUCAAGAUGCAGAGUAUAGUUAAGAAUAUAAUGGAUUACAAUAAAUUUAUUUAAAUAGAUUUUAAUUUGUAAAAAUUAAUUAAAAGUGGAUUUAAAUGUAAUUUUAUUUAAUUUAAUGGAAUGAUUAAAAAUUAAAAUAUGU
rnacentral:rRNA from 1 species